AGGCGGAGGAGCUCGAGGAGGAGGGUUCAGUGGAAUGAUCGAAAUGGGAGCAAGCUCGUCGAGGUUUUGGAGUUCCAGCCAAGCGAUUCAAGCGACUCAGAAGACGAGUAUGGAGAUUCUUGUAUCUGUACUAUAAUGUAGGGAUCUCUUGUGUAUAUCAACGAUGCAUCUGCUAUUGUCACAGGUCCAGCUCCGGCGACUGGAGCUGGAAGCAUUCAAUUGCUGUUUGCAUCUAUAACUUAUGCUGCCAUGGAGACCAAAGGUCUAGCUCAUGAAGCAGUGAGACAAAAAUCAUUACUAUUGAGGUGACACCUUCUCUUUUUUCUUCUUCCUUUUGUUUAUUUCUUAGAAGUUUGAUACCUGAAGAGCUUCUUGAAGGUGUCAUUUCAGAUUAACUGAUACAAGGGUAACUUGUCAUACAACUUUCAGACUUCAUUUUGAGCUUUUGGGCAAAAAGCGUGACUUCUCACUGUUUUUUAUGUGUGGUUUUGUAUUAUUGAGAAAAAUUCACAACUUUCUCCUAUAUUUGAAUUGUACACUGAAAGUAUAGUUAGGCUUACAGGCAUAACAUUUGAUUUCAACAACUCUAUUAUGGUGUAUUUAUUGUGUAUCAUUGCUUUCCACUUUGAUAAUAAUGCUAUUUGUAACUUAAACUAGAUCUGAUAGCUUGGUUUUGUAAUGCUUUUUCUUCAUAUGGUCAUAUUAUACUUUCUCAACUAA